AAAGAAAGAGAGAGAGGAGAAAAGAAAUAAGAAAUCGAUGAGAGGGGAUGUCACAGCCCGAGGCGUUGUGAGGGUUUAUUUAGCUUGGGUCUGUUAAGGCCCCCCUUUUGUACAAAAGCGAGGAAAUUCAGUGAAAGAGGUAGCAGUGACAGUAGUUUCGGGGUACAGUGGCGUAGUCCGUUGGUCAGUUACCUUAAGAAAUUCACAAAAAAUGUUUAUUGCCUUUAUAGUCUUUUUUGGAGGUAAUUAAAUUUUACGUGCAAGUCGUAGGAUGCUUAUAAACAGUUUCAUAUGGUAAAGACUUGGGUAUAUUUAUUGCAGAUGUUUUUGGAAUAGGAAAGUUCAUAUUUCAUUUUUAUAAUAGAGAAAAAAGGAAGUGAAAGUAGAGAAAAAAUUAAUUUAGAAGAUUGAAGAUCUGAAUAAGAGAUGUCAAGUUUGUUGUAUAUCUA
rnacentral:lncRNA from 1 species